UUUGAAUAAAAUAUCCCAGCGGGAUAAUGGUUCACUGCUUACAUUUUUCUUUGAAGAAUGCUUCGAAGAAAAUUUUAUGUACAAUUCUUCGAUACCAGGUAAUGCAUAAAAGUAAGCUAUGCGGAAUAAUGUUUCCCCGCUUACAUUUUUCUUUGAAGAAUGCUUCGAAGAAAAUUCUAUGUAGAAUUCUUCGAUACCAGGUAAUGCAUAAAAGUAAGCUAUGCGGAAUAAUGUUUCCCCGCUUACAUUUUUCUUUGAAGAAUACUUCGAAGAAAAUUCUAUCUAAAAUUCUUCGAUACCAGGUAAUGCAUAAAAGUAAGCUAUGCGGCUAAAUUCUACUGUGUUCAUAUUUACAAGUCAAGUAAGUACGUGAAAAACGACAAAUACAAAUUGAUGGAAUAAAAUUUAUAAGUAAAUUUUUUCAUUAUUUCGUCAAAUCAUCAAGCAAAAAGUUGGUUACUAUUUGGUAAGUAUUUCGUGUUUUUAACAUUGAAGGACAUAGCUUCAAAUUUAUAAACAUACUCUUUCAACUUUUUUGUAGAAUGUGUGAAAGUUGAAGGCUUCACCGAAUCGGAGUAUAUUCACCAAAUUCAAAAAGUUAUCAAACUCGCCAAACGCAGUUUCUUCAAGUCUCGUUGCUUGAAAAAAACGGCAAGAGAC